AGGUAAGUGUCGUGUUCUCAGGCACGUCUCGUGGGUAAAAUUCAGGUAUGUGUCGAUUGUCUAAGCUCUUGCUCGCCAUUGGUGGUGCUUGAGUGUGGUGUUAUGGUGUCGUCCAGCAAGGGAACACGGGAUGUGGGAUCAAGACAGCACACAUGGCAAUCCGCCACCAGGCAACGGACGCCCGUCCGGACUUACAGGCAGCCAAGGUAGACACAAAGGUGGAUGUUGAGCUCCAUAACAGUCUCAACAGUGUGCUCAUCAGUAAGAGCAGCACGAGCAAGAAGAUCCUAUAUACUCCUCUUAGGAAAUAAAGAAGCCAUUAGAGGUAGAAGAAGAAACCUCAAUCUCAAGGAAGUAGUGACUUCUUUAAUAAACAUGGUGCAAUUUGGAUUUAGUUAGGCGAUUUUUAUCUUGAACCAAUUUCAUGAUGAAGUACGAGAUUUUUCAAUGGAUUUAGUUGAUUGUGAUCCUGAGGAAAUAGUUAAAGAUGUUUGGUGUAUUAAUUAAUCUUGAACAAUAUGAAUUUAGUUGGGUGAUUGUGUCAUUGAACCAAAGUUCUAUGUGAUUUAUGAGAUUUUAGUUGGAUUUAGUUAGGUGAUGGUGUCUUGAGAUGAUAAUCAAAGGUGUUCGUGGAUUAUGAGAUUUUAGGUCUAAUAGAUGAGCAUGGUGAUUAUUAUAUUGGUGGAUAAACAGAUAUUUAAUUUAUUUUGGAACAAUUUGAAUUUAGUCAGGUGAUCGUGAUCUUUUAACCUAAUUUUACGGUGGAUUAGAAGGUUCUGGUUGGAUUUAGUUAUGUGAUUGUGAUUUUGACGAGCUAGUAGAAGAUGUUCGAUGAAUUAUGUGAAUUUAGGUCUAGUAGGUGAGCAUGUUGAUUAUUAUAAUUGUGCAUAAAUGUGUCUUUAAUAAAUUUUGAACAAUUUGCAUUUAGUUAGGCUAUUGUGAUAUUGAACCGAAUUGCACGAUAAUUUAUGUGAAUUUAAGUGGAUUUAGUUAAGUUAUUAUGAUCUUGAGAAGAUGGUCAAAUAUGUUCGGUGGAUUUUAAGAUUUUAGGUCUAGUACGUGAGCAUGAUGACUAUGACACUGGGGGAUAAACAGACCUUUAAUUCAGUUUGGAACAAUUUGAAUUUAGUUAGAUGAUUGUGAUCUUUUAAGCAAAUUUGCUGUGGAUUUUGAUGUUUGGGGUUAGAUUUAGUUAGGUGAUUGUGUCCUGACGAGAUAUUCAAAGAUGUUCAAUGGACUAUGUGAGUAUUUAUGCUUAGUAAGUAAGGAUGGUGGUUAUUAUAUUAGUGGAUAAAUGAACUUUUAGUGAACUUGGAGUAAUUUAGAUUUAGUUAGGGGAUUGUGAUCUUGAACCAAAUUUCAUGGUGAAUUCCGAGAUUUUAAAUGGAUUUAAUUAGUUGCUUGAGAUCUUAGAGAUAGUCCAAGAUGUUUGAUGGAUUAACUGAUCUUUUCUUGAACACAAUACAGACGCAAGCGCUCAUAUAAACGCGCUACACUCACCCAUAUGAAAGGCAUACACGCACACUCUACCCCUAUGAGCACCUUUGAGAGACUGAGAUGGCAUAUCAUCUUGAUAUUUUACGAAGUUACCGUAGACGUCUUGUAGUCGACGCGAACAAUUUGGAUUUAGUUCGGUGCUUGAGUUAUUGAACCAAAUUUCUCGGUGAUUUAUUUGAUUGUAGUUUGGAUUCAGUUAGGUGAUUGUAUCUUGGGAAGAUAGUCAAAAUAUUCAGUAUAUUAUGAGAUUUUAGGUAUGGUAAAUGAACAUGGUGAUUAAUAUAUUGGUAGAUAAACAUAUAUUUUAUUUAGUUUGGAUCAGUUUGGAAUUAGGUAGGUUAUUGUGAUCUUUUAAUCAAAUUUUAUGAGGAAUUAUGAGGUUUUGGUUAGAUUUAGUUAGGUGAUUGGGAUCUUGACGAGCUAGUAAAAGAUGUUUGGUAGAUUAUGUGAACUUAGGUCUGGUAGGUGAGCAUCUUGGUUAUUAUAUUGGUGGAUAAAUGGAUUUUAAGUGAGCUUGAAAAAAUUGGAUUUAGUUAGGCGAUUGUGAUCUUGAAUCAAAUUUUAUGGUGGAUUAUCAGAUUUUUGAUGUAUUAGUUAGUUGAUUGUGAUGUUGAGGAGAUGGUCAAAGAUGCUCGAUGUAUUAAUUAAUCUUGAUCAAUUUGGAUAUGGUUAGGUGAUUGUGAUAUUGAAUUUUUUUUGUGAUUUAUGAGAUUUUAGUUGGAUUUAGUUAGGUGAUUGUGUCUUGAGAAGAUAAUCGAAGAUGUUUGGUGGAUUAUUAGAUUUUAUAUCUAAUAAAUGAGCAUGGUGAUUAUUAUAUUGGUGGAUAAACAUAUUUAAUUUAGUUUGGAACAAUUUGGAUUUAGAUCGGUGAUUGUGAUAUUUUAACCUAAUUUAUAGUGGAUUAUAAGGUUUGGAUUGGAUUUGGUUAGGUGAUUGUGAUAUUUUAACCUAAUUUAAAGUGGAUUAUAAGGUUUGUGUUGGAUUUAGUUAGGUGAUUGUGAUUUUGACGAGCUAGUAAAAGAUGUUCGAUGGACUAAGUGAAUUUAGGUAUAGUAGGUAAGCAUGUUGAUUAAGCAUCCCACGUUCUCCUAAUGUGUGCCCUUGGCCUUGACGAUAGGUAGCGCCGUGUUUUCGGGCACGUCCCGUGGGUAAAAUUCAGGUAUGCGUCGAUUGUCUAAGCUCUUGCUCGCCAUUGGUGGUGCUUGAGCGUGCGGUUAUGGUGUCGCCCAGCAAGGGAACACGGGACGUGGGAUCAAGAUAGCACACAUGGCAACCCGCCACCAGGCAACGGACGCCCAUCCGGACUUACAGGGAGCGAAGGUGGACACAAAGGUGGAUGUUGAGCUCCAUAGCAGUCUCAACAGUGUGCUCAUCAGUAAGAGCAGCACGAGCAAGAAGAUCCUGGAUACUCCUCUUAGGAAAUAAAGAAGCCAUUAGAGGUAGAAGAAGAAACCUCAAUCUCAAGGAAGUAGUGACUUCUUUAAUAAACAUGGUGCAAUUUGGAUUUAGUUAGGCGAUUGUUAUCUUGAAGAAAUUUCAUGGUGAGUUACAAGAUUUUUCAAUGGAUUUAGUUGAUUGUGAUCCCGAGGAAAUAGUUAAAGAUGUUCGGUGUAUUAAUUAAUCUUGAACAAUAUGAAUUUAGUUGGGUGAUUGUGUCAUUGAACCAAAGUUCUAUGUGAUUUAUGAGAUUUUAGUUGGAUUUAGUUAGGUGAUCGUGUCUUGAGAUGAUAAUCAAAGGUGUUUGUGGAUUAUGAGAUUUUAGGUUUAGUAGAUGAGCAUAUUAUUAUAUUGGUGGAUAAACAGAUAUUUAAUUUAUUUUGGAACAAUUUGAAUUUAGUCAGGUGAUUGUGAUCUUUUAACCUAAUUUUACGGUGGAUUAUAACGUUCUGGUUGGAUUUAGUUAGGUGAUUGUGAUUUUGACGAACUAGUAAAAGAUGUUUGGUGAAUUAUGUGAAUUUAGGUCUAGUAGGUGGGCAUGUUGAUUAUUAUAUUGGUGCAUAAAUGUAUCGUUAACACAUUUAGAACAAUUUGGAUUUUGUUAGGUGAUUGUGACCUUGAACCAAAUUUUAUGGUGGAUUAAGAGAUUUUUGAUGGAUUAGUUGAUUGUGAUCUUGAGAAGAUAGUCAAGAUGUUUGGCGGAUUAAUUAAUCUUGAACACUUUGGAUUUAGUAGGUGGUUGUGAUACUCAACCGAAUUUCACGCUGGAUUAUGAGAUUUUAGGUGGAUUUAGUUAGAUGAUUGUGUCUUAAGAAUAUAGUGAAAGAUGUUUGCUGGACUAUGAGAUUUUAUGUUUAGUAGAAGAGAAUGGUGAUUAUUACAUUGGUGGAUAAACAUAUCUUUAAUUUAGUUUGGGACAGUUUUGAUUUAGUUAGGUGAUUGCUAUUUUUCAACCAAUUUUACUGUAGAUUUUGAGGUUUUGUUGAUUUAGUUAGGUGACUGUGAUCUCGACGAGUUAGGCAAAGAUGUUUGGUGAAUUAUGUUAAUUUAGGUCUAGUAAUUAAGUGAGCAUGGUGGUUAUUAGAUCGGUGGAUAAAUGGGCCUUUAGUAAACAUGGAGCAAUUUGGGUGUAGUUAGGCGAUUGUGAUCUUGAACAAAUUUCACGGUGGAUUACGAGAUUUUCGAUAGAUUUAGUUAGUAGAUUGUGAUCUUGGGAAGAUGUCAAAGAUGUUCGGUGGAUUAAUUAAUCUUGAAUAAUUAGAAUUUAGUUAGAUGAUUGCGAUAUUGAACCAAAUUUCUUCGUGAUUUAUGAGAUUUUAGUUGGAUUUAGUUAGGUGAUUGUAUUUUGAGAUGAUAAUCAAAGAUAUUUUGUGGAUUAUGAGAUUUAGGUUUAGUAGAUGAGCAUGGUGAUUACUAUAUUGAUGGAUGAACAGAUAUUUAAUUUAGUUUGCAACAAUUUGGAUUUAGUUAGGUGAUUGUGAUCUUUUGACCAAAUUUUACGGUGGAUUAUGAGGUUUUGGUUGGAUUUUAGUUAGGUGAUUGCGAUCUUGACGAGCUGGUAAAAGAUGUUCGGUAGAUUAUGCGAAUUUAUAUCUAGUAAGUGAGCUUGUUGGUUAUUAUAUUGGUGGAUAAUUUUUUUUAAUAAACUUGAAUUUUUUCGGAUUUAGUUAGGCGAUUGUGAUUUUGAACCAAAUUUUAUGUUGGAUUAUGAGAUUUUUAAUGGAUUAGUUAGUUGAUUGUGAUCUUGAGGAGAUAGUCAAAGAUGUCCGGUGUAUUAAAUAAUCUUGAACAAUUUGGAUUUGGUUAGGUGGAUGUGAUAUUGAACCAAAUUUCUCUGUGAUUUAUGAGAUUUUAGUUGGAUUUAGUUAGGUGAUUAUGUCUUGAGAAGAUUGUCAAAGAUGUUUGGUGGACUAUGAGAUUUUAGGUCUAAUAGAUGAGCAUGGUAUUAUUAUCUUGGUGCAUAAAUGGAUCUUUGAUCAACCAAGGUUCCUUAUCUUGCUGUUUGUUAAAGUCAAACAACUGAUAAUGAAGUUUAUCAACAUGUAAUAAAGGGUAUACAUGUUUUCUCAUACUCAUGUAGUCCGUUCAUUCCUAAACUAUAUGUUCUUUUGUUAAAACCUUGAAAUAUUAAGAUGUUAGGGUAAAUAAAUUCCUUCAGAAUUAAUAAUAGAAAAGUUUUGCUAUGCAAUAAGAUACAGUUGUAUGCAAAAAAUAACCUUGUCUUAUAUAGUUAUAUAUCAAAACUAUGGAUUUUCUAUGCAUUUCCUGCAAUCAUUAAUGUUCAUCGUCUUUGUUGGGAUUUUAUUUGGCACCUGCGGCAACGCGCUGUCGGGCACGACGGACGCUGCCAGGUCCGCAUCGACAUCGUGUUGGCCUCUGCAUGAUGAACUACAUGGUAAAGUUCAGCUGACGUUCCUCUGUUUUCUUCUACUACAAGAGUUCUGACGAUUUGUACUACUUGGCUGCAAACUUAUGCCGUUUGCAUCACCAUGCGGAAGUGGUUUGUUCUUCUGGCAUUAUUCAUGGUUCUCAUCAUAGCCAUACUGAAUGAUGGCAAGUGGCAUCUCUGAAUUUAUCAUAUGAAUUAUGACUUUAUGAGCUUGCCUGGCUACUGACCUGCUGUGUGGGAAGGGCAUCCUUUUACCAGAACUAUGGAUUUUAAUAUGCUCCAUUUCCUUCAGGUUUUCUGAAUAUACUCGCAAGUCGCAACCAUGGCCUUACAGUGCUACACGCCUCUGCUGAAGCCCCAACUGGCCCAAGUCUCGGUUAACCCUUGCAUUAACACGAUACAGAUUCCAGGUUUGCUUUGCCUCGCACGAAUAUGCUCGUUCCAUGACAUCUCGCUGGAUAUACACUGGAUAACAUGUGUUGAUGUGUGGAUGCACUGGCUAGCGAUUAGUUAUUCUAAUACUCUUCUGAUAAUUAUCUUCUCUUAAUAUACACGAAAUAAUGGCCUUACCGAGUCAGUGCUCCGCCCCUCUGCUAAAGCCCUAACUGGCCCAAGUCUCGGCCAGCCCUUCUCUAAAUCGAUGCAGAUUGCAGGUUUGCCUUAUGCUCCUUGCAUAAGCUAGUUAUCUCUGGCCAUAUUUCAUUUUUAUCCUACUUGCAUCCUGCCUGAUGACUUUUCUUUUGUGCCACCAAUUUUAGUGUAUGUUCGAGGAGUAGCAGAUUUUACGGAUCUUUUUUUUGUGUCGUUGCUUCAUCAAAUGGAAAUUUAAGUAACGGGAGAUUCGUCAACUGGAAAUUUAAACCAGUUUAUGAUUUGGUAAGGAAUCCAUAUAUAUUAGUGUGUGUUGUUAUGUUGAGCUCUAAAUAACGGGGAGCACACAAAAUUACAUUCAAUCCAAAUAGAGCUGGUGUUUGCAUAUGUAUGUUGUAUUCAAAUAAACUGUUUUUUUUGGGUGUUCAUUUUCGUGUUAAUAAUGGUGAUUGUUAUUCAUUUGGAACCAUCAUGUAAACCUAGCUGGACUUGGUUAAACUAUAAUUUUCCAUGUUUCAAAAUACUAUACGGUUUAGUACUUUGUUCUGAGAGUCUUUCUUCUCAAAAUGGAUUUUUUCCCCAGUAUUCUCCUAAAUCUUUUUGGUGUCUUGAUGUGAUCUGAUCAUCAGAAUGCAUGAACUGUAUUGAAUUCUUGUAAGGGAGCAUUAGAAUGUUGCUUGUCCUGAUCUAAUUAUCUGCAAUCCACAGGUUAUGCAACUGCACUUGCAAUGGUAGCAGGAACGACCUUUGCUUGGGCGACCUUCUCUGUUAUGAUAUUGUUGUCUAAGUUAAAGAACCUAAAUCUGCUCCAUGGUUUUGUUAUGUUGGAUGUGCCCCAAGAAACUUCUUUCUUUUGAUUUUUGUUGUCAAUAUAUUCUGUGGAUGCUCCUCAUACUCAUUAUGAAGUUUGGCAAAUAUCAAUUCUCUGGAUGUUCUUCAUAACUAUGGCGAAAGUUCAAAUGUUAGCAUAGCCAAUAAGUUGUGUGUUCGGCAAUGACACAAUGCACAGGUCAAGUGUUAGUUUUCUGAAACUAUUGUACUGUGAACUGUUGCUAACUUCCUCACUUUUAUUUGUAGUUUGGCCAACGUACCUGGUGUCGGAAAAGAGCUUAGCAGGACUAUUGACCGUCUUGAGAAUUGUCUUGAGAAGUGUCUCGGCCUCAGACAUGACACUUGAGAAUUCAGAUUUUUUGUAGCGCAGAACCCAUUAGCUCCUAUCUUUGUGCUAGCUAAACUUGAACUUAAGUUGUAGUGGUGUAGUCAAAUUAUUUGUGUACUGAAUUUUUGUUCUUCUUUUCUUUCAACAGUGAUCACGUUUAAAUGAGUGGAGACAUUGUGCCGCGUCGCACCAGACAAGAGGUGUACACUGCGGACGCGUCCGCAAGUUUUGACUGCUUGCUAUGGCUGGCGGGCAGAUGCGGACGUCCGCAUCUUCAUGUUUAGCUGAUUUGCGUAAUGCUAAGUACAAUAUGCUAGCUAGCUUUGUAUAUAACUUUGUUGCGCUAGCUAUACACGCUCAGAUUUCAUUGUGAAUUUUAUUCCGAACACAAAAGUUCAACCUCAUGUACACAUACAGGCUCAUGAGGGGAAGUCCUAUACGACGCUCUUUGCGUCAAAAUGCUGGGGCUUCGCACAGAGCGUCUCAGUUUGC